rnacentral:rRNA from 1 species
CCUACUAUGUUACGACUUAUCUCAUCUUAAAAUGAAAGCGACGGGCGAUAUGUACAUGAUUUAGAGCUUAUAUCUAAUAAGCAUAUUAAACUUAUUUUACAAUCAAAUCCUCCUUCCAAGUAGUAUUUAAAUUACUUAUUCGUAAUAAAUAAAUUUUAUUGUAACCCAUUUUAACUCAAACAUAAGCUGCACCUUGAUCUAAUAUAUUUAACAUUAUUAAACAUCCUAGUAAUUAAUUCUAUAAAAAUUACCUAAUAAUGAUGGUAUACAUACUAUACAAAUUUGAGCAAGAUUAUUCGUGGUUUAUCGAUUUAAAAACAGGUUCCUCUGACUAGACUAAAUCACCGCCAAAUUUUUCAAAUUUUUAGAACAUAACUAUUAUUACUUAGGCUUAUAUAAAUUGAUUUCUGGUAU